rnacentral:rRNA from 1 species
CCGAUCUCCAGCAGCCGCGGUAAUUCCAGCUCCAAUAGCGUAUAUUAAAGUUGUUGCAGUUAAAAAGCUCGUAGUUGGAUUUCUGCGAGGGUGCCAAUGUCCGCCGACGCGCGUGCGCAGCGGCGCCCUCGCAUCCUUCUGUUACCACCUCUCGGCAUUCACUUGCCGGUGGCCGGCUCAGAGAAUUUACCUUGAGAAAAUUAGAGUGUUUCAGGCAGGCUAGGCCGGAAUACAUUAGCAUGGAAUAAUGGAAUAGGACUACGGUCUCGUUGUUGGUUUGAGGGACUGCAGUAAUGAUUAAUAGGGAUAGUUGGGGGCAUUAGUAUUUAAUUGCCAGAGGUGAAAUUCUCAGAUUUGUUAAAGACUAACUUAUGCGAAAGCAUUGCCAAGGAUGUUUUCAUUAAUCAAGAACGAAAGU